CCCUUAGAUGUUCUGGGCUGCACGCGCGCUACAAUGGUCUUCGCAAACGGAUGCAUUCUCGAAGGAGAAUGCCAAUCUUGGAAUCUAUGCCUUGGUCGGGACAGUUGCUUGCAAUUUUUCGACUCGAACCAGGAAUUCCUUGUAAUCGUGAUUCAUCACAUCACGAUGAAUACGUCCCUGCCCUUUGUACACACCGCCCGUCGCUCCUACCGAUCGAAGAGUUAGGUGAAUUGUUUUGAUCGAUAAGAUUUGACUAUGGUCAACUCUCGUUGUGAAAUUCUGUGAAUCCGACGGUUUAGAGGAAGGAAAAGUCGUAACA
rnacentral:rRNA from 1 species